CCUACGGGAGGCAGCAGUGGGGAAUAUUGGGCAAUGGGCGCAAGCCUGACCCAGCAACGCCGCGUGAAGGAAGAAGGCUUUCGGGUUGUAAACUUCUUUUAAGAGGGAAGAGUAGAAGACGGUACCUCUUGAAUAAGCCACGGCUAACUACGUGCCAGCAGCCGCGGUCAUACGGAGGUGGCAAGCGUUGUCCGGAUUUACUGGGUGUAAAGGGCGUGUAGCCGGGCCGGCAAGUCAGAUGUGAAAUCCCAAGGCUCAACCUUGGAACUGCAUUUGAAACUGUUGGUCUUGAGUAUCGGAGAGGCAGGCGGAAUUCCUAGUGUAGCGGUGAAAUGCGUAGAUAUUAGGAGGAACACCAGUGGCGAAGGCAGCCUGCUGGAGGACAACUGACGGUGAGGCGCGAAAGCGUGGGGAGCGAACAGGAUUAGAUACCCUUGUAGUC
rnacentral:rRNA from 1 species